GUGUGUGGGGGAGAGGAAGUGUCUGAGAGCAGGUCUCAGCGUUCUCCUGAGCCUCUGCCCUGAGCUGGGACCCUCGCACAGACGUCUCCACACACGCCUUCGGAGGGACAGGGUGGAGUUGGGACCUGCCCUUCUGCUGGAAACGUCUGAUACUGAUCGCCUCCUCUGCAUCGCCCCUCAAAUUUAGGCCCUCCUGCUGUCUCCUUUAGAAGAUUUCGGAAGCUCUGUGACCUGCCUCGCUUGCAAUGGCCAGGCCCGCUCAAAGCUCCAGGAUUCCCUGCUGGGCAGUCACACACCUGCCAAAGCACAGCAUUCAAGUCUCCCAAGAAACCAGCCAUGGAAGGCUUCCUACCUGAGCAAACACUCUUUGUUUGACUUGUUCAGAGACCACAGAGGCCAGCACACCUGCAGAUGGGAGGAGAAAGUCUGGCUCCAUUCCUGCUAAGACCCGACUCAAAGACUCAGCCUCCUUGAGCUCUCUGCAGGGCAGCGCUUGACCAAGAGGUGAAGACGAGAUGCGGGCUCUUGGUUCUGGGGAAAGGUGGUUCCUCUCGGUCAGACUUUAGGGCUCUGCAAUCCCAGCCGUCGUUUCCAUCAGGAACUACAAGGGCUGGCAAAAUCCAUGCUAAACUCGGCUGUCCUCCCUCCUGGAUCUGUGCCCACGCAGCCAAGAUUCAAUGGACGAAAACAUACACCUCUGCUUACUGACCUCUCCUUGGUUCAUGACAACCUAUCUCAAAUGAGCACUCCACGCGACCCUGCA
rnacentral:lncRNA from 1 species